UACAGAGGGGGCAAGCGUUGUUCGGAAUUACUGGGCGUAAAGGGCGCGUAGGCGGCCUUCUAAGUCGAAACGUGAAAUCCCCCGGGCUCAACCCGGGAACUGCGUCCGAUACUGGAAGGCUUGAAUCCGGGAGAGGGAUGCGGAAUUCCAGGUGUAGCGGUGAAAUGCGUAGAUAUCUGGAGGAAUACCGGUGGCGAAGGCGGCAUCCUGGACCGGCAUUGACGCUGAGGAGCGAAAGCCAGGGGAGCGAACAGG
rnacentral:rRNA from 1 species